GUAAAUAAUGCCUCCCUCAUAGCAUUAUUGAGAGAAUUAGUUGGGAUAAAAGUUUACAAAACUCUUGGUAGAUACUUUGUUUCUCUUGGUUUUUUUUUUUUUUUUUUUUUUUUUUGCGAUGGAGUCUUGCUCUGUCGCCCAGGCUGGAGGGCAGUGUCAUGAUCUCGGCUCACUGCAACCUCCGCCACCCGGGUUCAAGCGAUUCUUCUCCCUCAGCCUCCCAAGUAGCUGGGACUACAGGCAUGCGCCACCAUACUCGGCUAAUUUUUGUAUUUUUAGUAGAGACGGGGUUUCACCCUAUUGUUGGCCAGGCUAGUCUCGAACUCCUGACCUUGUGAUCCGCCCAACUCGGCCUCCCAAAGUGCUGGGACUAUAGGCAUGAGCCACCGCGCUCAGCCCAGUAGAUACUUUUUAAACAGGAACUAUUACUGAAUAGAAAUUAGCACUUAUCUAAAUCAUUAUUUUAUUUCAUUUAUUCUUUUCAACUUUUAUGUUCGUGGGGUACAUGUUUGUUACAUGGAUAAAUUGUGUGUCACAGGGGUUUGUUGUACAAAUUAUUUUAUCUCCCAGGUAAUAAGCAUAGUAUCCAGUAGGUACUCACCCUCCUUCCACCUUCCCACCUCAAGUGGGCCCCAGUGUCUAUUGUUCUCUUGUGUCCACGUUUAUUUCAUGUUUAGCUCCCACUUAUAAGUGAGAACAUGCAGUAUUUGAUUUUCUCUUCCUACAUUAAUCACCUUAGGAUAAUGACCUCCAGCUGGAUUCAUGUUGCUGCAAAGGACGUCACCUCAUUCUUUUUUAUGGCUGUGUAGUAUUCCAUUGUGUAUAUGUACCAAAUUUUCUUUAUCUAGUCCAUCAUUUAUGGGUAUUUAGGCUGAGUCCAUGUUUUUGCUACUGUAAAUAGUGCUGCAAUGAACAUACAUGUGUAUGUGUCUUUAUGGUAGAAAGUAAAGGAUUAGGCCGGGCGCGGUGGCUCACGCCUGUAAUCCCAGCACUUUGGGAGGCCAAGGCGGGCGGAUCACGAGGUCAGGAGAUCGAGACCAUCCUGGCUAACACGAUGAAACCCCGUCUCUACCAAAAAAUACAAAAAAAGUUAGGCGGGCACGGUGGCGGGCGCCUGUAGUCCCACUGGAGAAGUGUUAAAAACAUAUCAGCAUCGCAGUGAGACUUGAUCUUUGAAAGAGAGACACAGAAGGACAACCGAAAAGAGAGCAGCUUUCUCAAGAGGUAAAUAAGUUUGUUGAAAUCUGAUAGGCUUCAUCCCAUUUCCUUCAACAACUGAGUACAACAAGCUAUCCCAUCCCACAGGAGCCUUGGCGAAAAGCUCCCCGGCCGGCGCAAGGCCAGACUUCUCGCCUCCACUGUGUUGAUUGCGGUUGCCAGGGCAGCGGCGCAUUGCUCCCCGCCUCGUCCUGGUGACGUCACAGAGCAAUGUCCAAUGGGAAAGCAGCUCGGUGUCACGCACCUCCUAUCCCGGCGGGCACCGCCUGCGCCGCGGCGAGUGAGGCGUCGUCCGUACUGGAGGCUAGCUCUUGUCGCGG
rnacentral:lncRNA from 10 species